ACUUUCAAAGGAUAAUAGCAAUCCAAUGGUCUUAGGAACCAUCCAUCUUGGUGCAAAUCCAAGUGAAAGUA
rnacentral:tRNA from 2 species